rnacentral:rRNA from 1 species
UAAUACAGAGACCUCAAGCGUUAUCCGGAAUCAUUGGGCGUAAAGCGUACCGAUAGGUGGUUUUACAAGUCAGAAGUGAAAUCUCAAGGCUUAACCUUGAGACUGUCUUUUGAAACUGUAAAACUUGAGGGGCAAAGAGGAAGCUGGAACGAACGGUGUAGUAGUGAAAUGCGUUGAUAUCGUUCGGAACACCAAUAGCGUAGGCAAGCUUCUGGGUGCCACCUGACACUGCUAGGACGAAAGCGUGGGGAGCGAAUGGGAUUAGAUACCCCAGUAGUCCACGCUGUAAACGAUGUACAUUAGGUGCUAGAGAGUAUCGACCCUCUUUAGUACCAAAGCUAACGCGUUAAAUGUACCGCCUGGGGAGUACGGCCGCAAGGCUA